UAAUAAGUGUUUUACUGCACUUUUUAAACAAGUACUCACCUUGUGUGCAAUGUUUGCUGCUGCGUCGUUCACGCGUCGUGCCAGCACAAUACCAACCUUUUAUUUAAACAAUUUUGUCUGAAGAUAUUUUGAAUAACUAAUUCUAAAUA
rnacentral:misc_RNA from 1 species